rnacentral:lncRNA from 1 species
GGGAUAGAAAAUAAUUACAUAUAUUUGGUCUGAGGUCUUUGAAACUAUAUCUGACAAAGGCUCUUCUCCACUCACAGAUGCAGACUGAAUUCGCUGGAAUGAUAACAGCAUAGCUAAAGGGUUUGCAACUCAAUUACCCAUCAGCCAUUGAAUAUGCACCUGCUUCUCAGAUUGGCAAGGCAACAAUUUACUGUGAAGAAUCAGUUGUUUUGAAUGGCUAAUUGGUUACAGGUGCAAUGAAUUAGCCAUCUGCCUUAGAGACUGACUCAACUAAGGGAAGGAAAAUCCUUUUCUGUCACUUUGGGAGCACAUCAGUGAGCUGUGAUUCUAACUUGGAAUUUGUGGAUUCUAUGUGGGAUGAGGAGACUAAGGCAUAGAGGAAUCAUUUGGCUUAUCUAAAGGCAAGCAGUAGUUAAGAAAACCAGAAGGAAAAGUAAGUUCUCUUGAAUUCUAGUUUUUCUUUACUAUUAAAAUAUGAAUUUUAAUAGUUGAAUUAUCCAUAGAGUUUCUUUGUAUUGGUUAAAAUGCCCUGGAUCACUUAAUUCCUUCAUUUGGCUAACUCAUGCAUAUGAAGAUACUG